UACGGGGGGGGCAAGCGUUGUUCGGAAUUACUGGGCGUAAAGGGCUCGUAGGUGGCCAACUAAGUCGGACGUGAAAUCCCUCGGCUUAACCGGGGAACUGCGUCCGAUACUGGAUGGCUUGAGUUUGGGAGAGGGAUGCGGAAUUCCAGGUGUAGCGGUGAAAUGCGUAGAUAUCUGGGGGAACACCGGUGGCGAAGGCGGCAUCCUGGACCAACACUGACACUGAGGAGCGAAAGCCAGGGGAGCAAACGGG
rnacentral:rRNA from 1 species